rnacentral:tRNA from 1 species
GGGUAUAUAGCUCAAUGGUAGGGUAUGUGCUUAGCAUGCACAAGGUCCUGGGUUCAAUCCCUAGUACCA